rnacentral:rRNA from 1 species
UACGUAGGGGGCAAGCGUUGUCCGGAUUUAUUGGGCGUAAAGAGCGUGUAGGCGGCCAUGCAGGUCCGCUGUGAAAACUCGAGGCUCAACCUCGAGACGUCGGUGGAAACCGCAUGGCUAGAGUCCGGAAGAGGAGAGUGGAAUUCCCGGUGUAGCGGUGAAAUGCGCAGAUAUCGGGAAGAACACCCGUGGCGAAGGCGGCUCUCUGGGACGGUACUGACGCUGAGGUGCGAAAGCGUGGGGAGCAAACAGG